CAUGAUCUGGAGACAUCGUCUCGAAGGUUCUUUAUUUUCCGUUCUUUUCCGCUUGGAUUCCAAGGAGGAAGGACUUAGUGAACUUCCUCAGCGCUUGGAGCCAAUAAGUCAGCCUUGUUGAAAUAAAAUAAUUUACCCAACGCUGAAAUAAGGCCGUUUGAACAACUUAUAAGAAGGGAAUUACAUUUCCUUGUGUAUGUGAACCGGAGGUUUGGAGCCUGCAUCCACCCAAGUUUACAUUAGAACCAAAACUUCGUCUUGGCUGGGUUUUUUGUUUCCUCCUUUCAUUCCUUUCAUUGGACGUGGAUGAAGAAUUCGAAACUGGAUAAAGACUCUGGAUAAAGACUUUUCCAACAGAUGAAGAUGGCGAGCUAAUGCCCGGAAACCAACUGAUUUGAAUUUAGACGGACUGUCUGGUUUGAAUUUUUGUUUAUUUUAUUGCAUAUACAGUGGUACCUCUACAUACGAAGUUAAUCCGUUCCAGGAGCUUGUUUGUAAGUCGAAAUGGUCGUAUGUCGAGCAGGAUUUUCCCAUAGGAAUACAUUAUAAUUCCAUUAAUUCGUUCCACAGCCCAAAAACCUGCACUAAAUCCUUAAAAAAUACUGCUGGUACUAUUACAAAUGGCAAUUACAUAUAGCAAAACAAAUAAAUAAUAAAUAAAAAUCGGAUUAAUAAUAUAAUAAUAAUAAUAAUUCCUGUAAUAGUGUAACGAAACGGGUUCUAAUAAGGCGGACGUUUUUUUCUGUACCUGAAGGCACCGCGGCGCUGACGUGACAAAGAGGGAGGGGAGCGGGUGAAAGUUUACUUUCGCUUUCAAUGCUUUCUUGAGAACAUCGUCAAUUGCGGCAGACAGCAGGCGUUUUGUGUUGAAUAAGUUGUGAAAGAAAUGAUGGAAACGUGGCGAAGCUGGCGAUUUCUCUGGAGAUGUUACCACAAUAAGAAAUGUCAGCUUAACUUAUAAAGACUGGGGAACGAUGGUCGGAGGAGGACCGUGGAGAUGUAUUGUUGAGCCAUUUCACCCCACGCUCAUAUUUUUCUGUCAUUUGCAUCUUCAUUUAGAAGGUAAGCGUAAACUUUUUCCUUGUUUCACCACCUGUACCAACCUUUUCUGAAACCUGUGUUGAUUUUUCACACAAGAAAAUCCGCCGUGCAUUCGUCUGCGGCGCUGCCAUUGUCGUCGUAUUUCGAGCAUGUCGUCGGAUGUAGAAACAAAUGGCGAGUCAAAUUUUACGUCGGAUGUCGAAAAGUUCGUGUGUCGAAGCGAUCGUAUGUAGACGUACCACUGUAUUUGUGUAUAUAUUGCCGGCUUAAAUUGUAAAUAGUUUUUGUAUUCAUAUAAUUAUUUUGUUACUCAUCUCGACUCCAGUUAUUUCAGUUACUAAACAUUAUUUUCCUUAUUGUAAUCUCCGAGAACCUAGUUCUCAGCCCAAAUACGAUUGCAUUCACAACAGAACCCCGUCAUCUCGAACCGAGGGUUACAUAGGCUUGCUUUUUUUCUUUUUCCCCCUUCAGGCAACAUAAAAUACAGCAGCUUCCUCUGUCGCACUUCAAGAUAAAAGCACUUCCUGUCAAAUCUCUAGCAGUAUAUUAACUGUUCAGGUAAUAUUCAGAAUAAUUUUAGCUGUGUAUUUAUUACUUUUCAAUGUAAAUAACCUACAUAGAAACGUUUUAUAUUUUAACUAUUUCUUUUAGCUAGUUUUAAACUUAACACUCACUAUGAAUUCAAAUAUGCAUUUUAACCAAACAUUUCACAACAAAUACCAAGCUUUACAAUUCCAAGAACCCCCUUCCUAUCUUUGGAUCGGUAUUUUCCAGAGGGAAUCUGGAGGAACUGCCUCCCUGCGCCACCCCGCUUUUUGAUUGACGACAGAAAAAAUUCUAUUACAGCUUGUCACAUGUCCCGGGGGAGGACUCUGAGUUGGGAAGAGGGGGAAAAAAAUGUUGAAAGAUAAAUAUAGAACAAGGCGUAUUUUGAUAAAGUGUGCGAGGUGAGGGGACAGAUGAUAAAAAGGUAAUGGUUGCAAAAUAUCAGCUUUGCAAUGAAUCACUGUCAUAACAAGGUGGAAUAGUGGCGCUGGGGGACCGUUUCAACCUACUCGUUGACGAUGUGUCUGUCAUUCAAAUGUAAAAAUUCCAUAAUUACUGCACGUACAGUUAAUCUGACAUUGUAAGAUGCUUUUUGAUUAAAUUAAAAGAGACCUGUGUGGCGCUAAAAAUGGAACAUUUUGCUACAAAAGUGAUAGCGUAGGUAACUUAACCCGUUCCUUUAAACAUAUCAAAGUGAUAUUCAUGUUAAGCAAUUGUUAUUUCAACACGGCAGAGUGGACAUGUUAAAUUUAAAUUGCUGCCAGCCCAAGGAAUAUGCUGUGGUAUAGUUGAGCUCUGUAUUAAAAACAACUAUCAACGGCAAAAGCAGUAAAUAUUCUUUUUAUAGUUUUUAGACAUUUUUAAUUCAUGUUUAUUUACUCAGAUGUGUUGUUUAAUUCUCUGAUUUAUGUACUCCUCAAUCUCUCAUCAAGGAAUACAGAAAUUUUAUCUCAAUGAAAAACCGAUAAAAAAAAAAAAAAAUUCUUCUGUUCCCCAUUGCCCCUUCCUGUUAGCUGUUUUGUCUUAAUAAACGAGGUAUGUUAAAUGAUCACAAUGGGAGUAUGUCAUACUCCAAUGUGAAACAUUAAAACUGUUCAGACCAACUGGACACUUAGACUUCCAUUCUCUGUGUCAAACAGAUGAACAGGACAGGUUUAAAAAACAAAAAAAUUCGUUGCACAUGAUUUAAAUUUUGCAGGCCACGCAAAAUGAUGUGGUGAGCAGAACCCGGCCCCCGGGCCACGAGUUGAGUACCCAUACUUUAGCUUGUGAUUCUCUCCUUUCGCUUUGCCGUCAUAUUGGGUGGAGAAGAGGCAGAAAGUCGUGAGAUGAGAUGAAAAGACGAGGUACAAGCAGAGAAAAGUACUGAGGAACUUUAUAAACAUGAAGUUUAAAAAGAGAGAACUCAGGUUCAGCAGAAGGUUAACAUUCCACCUAGCAGAUGUCUUCCGCCAUAAAAAAGUAGGAAUAUAUAGCUUCUGCAUCCUUCAAAAUGAUGGCCUGUGCAACAGGCGGCGCCAAGGUCUUUUUGGAAUCCUUCUUUAUUAUGACUUCCUACGAAUGCUAACCAUUUUACGAGGGGAAAAAAAUCCAGAAACCCGUCAUUUUAGUUUUACACAUGGUCCUGGCAUCAAAAUUGACAAUUUUGUGGUUUUACUAUAAAAAAAAACAGCGGCUUGUUCAUCACUGUUGGCAGCUUCGAUUUAGUCAAGCGAUAUGCAGAAAACAAAUAUUUAAUUCACUUAUGAGUCAUUAAACAAGGUUUGUUUUUGCUACCGUAUUUACUCAACUACAUUAUGUAUGGACGUAUAUUGACAUUGAUAAAAAAAAUGUUUUUUUAAAUCCACUCUGAGCAGGAAUAUUAUUGAUAUGUAUCAGAUGGAUGACCUUUUCAUUCAAAUUGGAGGAGAGGAACAGGUUUUAUAAGGAGCAGAAAAAAAUCAUUCAUUAAAAAACUUGUAAAUAUAAGCCAUUUUUAUUGUAUUAUUGUUAUUAGGGUUGUUCCGAUCAUGUUUUUUUGCUUCCGAUCCCGAUUGUUUUAGUUUGAGUAUCUGCCGAUCCCGAUAUUUCCCGAUCCGAUUGCUUUUUUUGCUCCCGAUUCAAUUCCAAUCAUUCCCGAUAAUUUUUCCCGAUCAUAUACAUUUUGGCAUUGCAUUAAGAAAAAAAAUGAAUAAAACUCGGGACGAAUAUAAGUACUGUAUUUGUUUAUUAUGACAAUAAAUCCUCAAGAUGGCAUUUACAUUAUUAACAUUCUUUCUGUGAGAGGGAUCCACGGAUAGAAAGACUUGUGACUUUGUAUAUUGUGACUAAAUAUUGCCAUAUGGUGUAUUUGUUGAGCUUUUAGUAAAUGACACUGGAGCCAUGCCCAAAUGCAUGAUGGGAAGUGGAACCAUGACUGUGCGUAGUGCUACCAAUUGAUAUAUCUUCUCUGCGUUGGGAAAUAACAUAAGGUGUUAAGAAAAAGAUCAAUUCCUCCCUUGCUUCCCCACAUUGCUUCCCAUUAUAUUUCAAAUCGUAGGGAGAGCGAUUGUAAGGCUUUAUCCAUUUAAAAAAAGGCUCCAAAGGCUGCCAAAAUUCACUCUACUCAUUUUACGCUGCCUUUUAUCUCUCUAUAUAGGUAAAACGGCACCAUUACAGAUUGAGCGCGACAAUGCGUGAGUGGGUCGUGCAGUUAGUGCAUGCAUUAAUUGCGUUAAAUAUUUUAACGUGAUACAUUUUUUAAAAAAUUAAUUACCGCCGUUAUUGGGAUAAAUUUGAUAACCCUACCUUAAGCCUAAACUAAAGACUAUGGAUGAGUGUAACAUAUUAUGUCUGUAACGUUAAAUUCAAUUAGAAAACUAUUUAGUUAAAAAAAAAAAAAAAAAAUUUAAAAGGCAUGGCCGAUAUUUUUUUGCCGAUUCCGAUACUUUGAAAAUGACUUGAUCGGACCCGAUCGAUUGGGACAUCUCUAAUUGUUAUCAUUUGAAUUAUUAUAAUAAUAAUAAACUAUUCAAAGAGCGCUUUUACCAAUGCUCAAAGACACUUUACAGUAGAAACAAAAACAGCAAACAAUGUGAACAAAACAAUAAAGAAAAAAAUAAUUAUAAGUUAAAAGCUAGUUUAAAAAGGUGAGUUUUUAACAGUUUUUUGAAUGUGUGAAGGUCUGAACAGGUACGGAUGGGUUUAGGGAGUGAGUUCCAAAGGGAGGGGGCAGCUACGGAGAAGGCUCUGUCCCCCCAAGUUCGGUGUGUUCUUUGUUGGGGCGGUGCGAGGAUGUUUCCAUUAGAAGAGCGGAAGUGACGGGAAGGUGUGUGUGGACAGAGAAGGUCUGUGAGGUAGGGAGGGGCCAAGUUAUUGAGUGGUUUAUAAGUGAGAAGGAUGAUUUUGAACUGUAUCCUGUAUGAAAUAGGAACCCAGUGCAGUUUGUGGAGGACGGUGGUAAUGUGGUUCCUAUAGGGGUGAGAAGGCGUGCAGCGGAGUUUUGGAUAUAUUGUAGUUUAUUGAUGCGUUCGGAUGGAGAACCAAAAAGAAUGCUAUUACAGUAGUCAAGUCUGGAGGUGAUGAAGGCAUGGAUGAGGGUUUCAGCAGCGGAGAAAGUGAGGGAGGGGCGAAGACGGGCAAUGUUCUUGAGGUGGAAGAAGGCAGUUCUGGUGAUGUGGUUGACGUGCUGGUCGAAUCUGAGUUUAUUGUCGAAAAUGAUAUCUUGUGUGUCGAAAGAGGCAGGGUGCAGUUGUUGCUGGUGAGGGAAAAUUGACAGUCUCUGAUGUGAGCUGCAGGGUCGAUGAUGAUUAUGUCCGAUUUGUUACUGUUGAGUUGAAGAUAGUUUGCUUGCAUCCAGGAUUUGUGAAGAGUGGAUUCGGUGCUGUGCAAGAUUUGUUUUGUGGAGAUGUAAAUUUGGAUGUCGUCAGCGUAUCAGUGAAAUUGGAGUCCAUAUUUCCGGAUUAUCUGACCAAGGGGGAGGAUGUAAAGAAUGAAGAGGAGGGGACCAAGAACUGAACCUUGGUGGACACCUCGUGGUAGGGGAACAGGAGGGGGUUGUGCAGUGAUUGAUGGUGAUGAAUCGUUGUCGGUCGGUGAGUUAGGAGCGGAACCAGGAAAGUGCAGUACCAGUGGUGUGUACAGAUUCUAAUCGGGAGAGCAGGAUGGUAUGGUUGAUUGUAUCGAAAGUGGCAGUGAGGUCCAGGAGGAUGAGGAUGUUGAGUUGUCCAGAGUCUGAGGAGAGGAGAAUAUGGUUAUUUUGAGAAGGGCUGUUUCGGUGCUGUGCUGUGACCGGAGGCCAGAUUGAAAAAGUUCAAACAGGUUAUUGUUGGUGAGGUGGGUUCUUAGUUGUGAGGCGAUGGCUCUUUCCAGAAUUUUAGACAGAAAAGGGAGAUUGGAGAUGGGGCGGUAAUUGCGUAUAUCGGUGUCUAGACCAGAUUUCUUUAUGAUGGGAGUGAUGGCUAAAUUAAAGAAAUGAAAAUGAAUAAAAACAAAAAAACACUCGAGUUACGGCCCCAAGUAACACUACAGUAGUUUUUCCCCCCAGAGUAUUUAAUGCCAUUGAUGGCAAUAGAAAUCCAGUUCAUUAAAACUGUGAGGACUUGCUAAUCUUUCAGCGCCAUUGGCAGCGCUAGACGUCCAGUCCAUAAUGACUGAGAGGGGGCAAAUGAAUUAAUGCAUAGACUUCAUAAUGAUAUUGACUGGUCAGAUUCCACCUUCAUUGCGGCACGCCUUCAAGUAGGGGGCCAUCUCUAAUCCGCUUCAGUUAUUCGCAGUCGGUCGUAGUGACACAUGCAGCGAUCAAACACCGGAUUUAGGUUGAAAAAGUACAAAAGCUGUACCGCAUUCAAACAGGAAGGAUUGUCUCAGGAGUGAUUUGUUCAAGGUUUCAAGGUAAUUAUUAUAUUUUUCGUUUUUCCACAACUAUUUUCAACGUAAAAAGCUCUUUGUUGUAAGGCGGCAGCCACAUUGUCUAACAGACUCGCAUCAUUCUUCGACGUAUUUACGUAAAAUAAAUGCUAACUGCCCGUUUUUUGCUCUUUUAACUAAGAAUCGAGACUGUUUUUCAUUCAUAUCCAUGAAGAAUUCAGGGCUUUAAGCAUUUAUUCACAAGAAUUUUCACCGGAAAAGCUCUGUUAACAUAAGGUGGCCACCGCAUAGACUAACAGACUAGCAUCAUACUUUGACACAUUUACGUUAAAUAAAUGCCAACUCCACGUUUUUUUGUUUUUGUUUUGUUUUUAACCAAGAAUCGAGACUAUUCUACGUCCAUAUCUAUAAAGAAUUCAGGGAUUUAAGCAUUUAUUCACAAGAAUUUUCGUCGGUGAUUCCACUCGGUCAGCUUUGACGGCCACGCCAACAAUGCAGGCCCCCUAUUAAUCGGCCCUGCGUGUCCUGUCAAUACCAUUCUGAAGUCUAUGAUUAAUGUUCAUUCGCCCCUCCCAGUCAAAAUGGAUUGUCCGUCUAGCGCCGUCAACAGCAACUAAUGAGUUAAAUUAGUCCCCUAUAAGAAUUCAAUUGCAAUUUUUGACCUAAGAACACAUUUAAGCUAACGUUUCGUCUCAAUAUCAUAAUGCAUACAUCACCCUCCUUUAAUCCCACGUAAUAGCCACCAAAAAUAAAUAAAUAAAAAUCAAGAUAAACUGUUCGAUGCGUAUACAUCCCUAGAAUCUAGUGACCAAAUUGCAUUCCUAUACAUCCACGGGUAACACAGGAGUAGCUAUACCCAGAUUGGGAAAUAUAACUGGAGCAGACAUGGGCCAGAUGUACUGCAAAUUUCUGCCCAACUUUGUAAAACGGAUUUGCCCCAGUAUCUUUUUGAACAACGGCCCAAACUCAGUAAGGAGUCACUUGCCAGAUCAGCAACCAGUUUUGGGCCAGAACUGGUCCAAAGUAGCUGACACGACAUUAAUGUAUGGCCCGGAUAUGGCACAUAUGUUAGCCAAUCUGGGCCAGAUUUGUAUCAAAACCGUUUUCAGUAUUAAAUUUGGAGUCCAUUUUGUUCAAAGUACCAUCCUGGAAUGUGUUUAUUUUGCAAAUUAAAUGUGUCUAUUAAAAGCUACCAUAUUAAUACAACAUACAACAACAUAACAAUACAACAGUUUUUUCACAAAAUAUUUUAAUUGGAACAAGCAACUCCACAUUAAAGAUGACCCAUUUUUAGACUGUAUACAACAUAUUGUAUUUAAGGUUCUGGUGUCACGGGGGACCUAUUUCAUUGACGAUAAGGGAAUGGUAGAUGGUGUCCGAAGAAUCCAGUGGGCAGUUUGGUGAUAGAACAGGUUAGUUCAGGAUUACUUCAAGCAGUACAGGAUCUAGGGGUGAAAAACACAAAAAUGAGCUCAGUAUUUAGAUUACAAGAUUCUUUGUUAGCUGAAAGUCACAUACCUGCAGGUGACUUGUUGAUCUGGCGAUGAUGUGAGGCCAAGGACCGGUUUAAGCUGCUGACGAUGAUCAGCAGCACCUGGACCCAGGCUCACCCAUCUGUGCAAUCAAGGCGACAAUUAAGGCAAAACUGUCAUAGUGCUGAUUCGGGCUGCAUCUGGCGCACUGACGUUAAGCGGGAGUUUGAGUGCGUCCGGUCUGCACGGUCUGUCCCGAAACAGUGCUUAACCUAUCAUUUGGACUGUUAGACCCCACUCACCAACGUCACACAAUGACGUGUCGCUGUAUCCGGCCACCAUAUUGUCCGUCAUUGUUUAUCCGUAUUCUCAAUGGUUUCAAUUUGUCAUGCAAUUUAUAUUCCAAUUCAUGGAAGCCCCGAUGCUUUCAGACGCUGUAAACUCAUUGGAUGCGUUGCAUAAAAGGCGUUAUGUGGAAAAGCUUCAGUCUAUCCAUUUGCCAGAUCCAUAUUUGAUGCCUAAAUUGAUAUUUUUCGACCCGCUGUCUUCGCCGUCUCUGCCUGACAUCUGCUACCCUGAUAUCUACAACUAUCUUGUCCACACAAAAUCAGCCUAUUCUCAUGGAAGUUUGAAAAACUAAGAGCAGCACUCUAAGCAACAUUACCCCUUGUGACCCUUCCAAUUUUCUAAAAUGGCGACAGUCAAUAAAAAAAAAAAGCUGACUGCGACGCUUCAAGGAUAGGUGGAUAUUGGACUAUUUCUUCAAUAAAAUACGCAACUGUGUCUGCCUCAUUUGCAAAGAGACAGUCGCUGUUUUCAAAGAGUUCGAUGUGAGGCGAUAUUACCAAACAAGACACGCUGACAUGUACGACAAGAUGGAAGAUAUGCAACGAGAAAUUAAAGCAACUUGAAGCUAAUUUAAUUUCACAGCAGCAGUAUUUCGCAAGUGCCUGAGGGUCGAAAGAGAACGCCACAAAGGCGAGAUUGUUGAAAUUAUGAAUAAAAAAAAAAAUAAAUAAAUAAAGCAAAUGUGACACACAGAAGGGCUUGCUAAAAUUUCUUUAAAUGUAUUGUUCUACGUAAAUCAGCCCAGGUAGCCCCCCACAUUUUUACCACACCAAAUCUGGCCCCCUUUGCAAAAAGUUUGGACACCCCUGUUUAGCUGAUGAUCCGUAGAUGAGGCCAGCUUCUUUCACUUGUUACCAACUAAAUAUUAUUCAAUAAAAUAAUGGUGAAAGAAAUAAACAUCUUGAAUUUGAAAUUGUAUGUUUGCGGCGAUUAGCCUCGCAAUGAUCUUAAUUGUGGUUGUCAGCCCAAAACCCUCUAAAUAUAUAUUAAAUGCAUCUUACCAGAUAUAAAAAGACUACUACAUAAUCUGUGGUGAUCGUUUGGUGCCCAGUUUUCUCGUCGAAUUGCAGCAGUCCAUCUCGCUCUCCUCUCCGGGUCUCUCGGAAUACGGUAGAACUUCAAGUCUCUCCGUCUAUCUUCUCUGUUACUGCAACCAACCGCCACACACGCCUUCACCAUUUUGAUUAUUAAUGUUAACGAGCAGAAAAACACCCCAUAAUGGGAGGAAUUUACGUAGCGGUAAUGCGUAAACACGACGAACUGACGGACAAUAUGGCGCGGAGGCGUGGUUGUGACGUCAUGUGAGUGGGGUCUGUAGUGUUGAUCCAGGCCGCAUCUGGCGCACCAACAGUAAGCUGGUGUGAUUGCUAUACGAAUCUGGCCAGCUGAGGCCGGAUCCGGCACGCAGUAAUCUGCUAUUGGGGUAAAUAUUGUCUUCAACCAUAACGACUAGAAAAUGCAAUUUCUGGAGAAAUUGUGCAGGGAUGCUUUGCUCUCCCUCCCAUGGUUCACUUCCUGUAGAUUUUGGGGCAUUUUUGAGUUUUUGCAGUUUUUUUGCCUUAUAGUGCAGUUUUUGUGUUUUCUGUGGGGGGGUUGUAUUUUUUUUAAAGUUUUUCAUGGUUUUCAAUGUUUAUUGAUUCAUUCAUUUUAGGACACUUCUGGGUCACUUUCUCAUUAUUGGUCACUUCGACUAGUGUUUGGAUUUUUUUCAGGGUAAUUAACUGAAGAUGUUUAUGUCAAACUUUGCUAGAAGCAUACAUUUUACAAAAAAAAAUGUACCGUAAGUAACAACAAUUGUGUGCCUUGAUUUACUGAAUUUUUAUGUGUACAUUAUGAAAAUUGCAAUGGAAUUUGCAAUGGAAAUUGCAUUAAAAAAAAACGUAGGACUAAGAUACAUUUAGAUUUUUUUUUUUUUUGCCAUUGUGAAAUAGAGGUUGGUUUUUUUUUUAAUUGAAAAUUCGCUUGAUUGUGGCAAGCGUAAACAUGAUGAGCAAAAUCAAAAUAGAGCCUGCUCCGUGUGAAUUUCUGGAAAAUUUGUAAGUCAGAACGGUGUCAAUAGGUCAAAGGUUGUGGGCUGUGCGGUGCGCUGAAAAUGGGGACGGGGAAAAAAAUAUUAGAUUUGAAGAGCUUUGCUUUGCAAAGCAUCCCCACAUCAAAGUUUUGUGACACAUACAGGCGGAAGACAGGAAGAGAAGAACUGAUUGGUCACGUUAGGCGAGAAAAGAGAAAACGAAGGGUGGAAUAAGUAAAAAAAAAAGACUCAGGACAUUUAGUGCAUUGAGUUUUUACACAUCUCAUGACUACAGUAAUAGUGAAAGUCCAGAAAAAAAAUCCCAAAUUACAGUGCUUUAUUUUUCAAUCCAUUAAUCAGUUUUUCCCUAACUUUGCAUUUGGAGGAAGGCGACUAAACAGACUUCGGUGCAAAUCUGGCGAGCGAGACGAGCAGAAGGUAGAGUAGAAAGUUGGAAGCCAUCAUGUGAGAAUGGGGGCAACAUCGACGACGUGCAAGCAGACGGGAUGCUGCGCAGGGAGGAAAGGGGAGGAGUUGGGGGGGACAUAGUUCCGCCUGUUGAGGUCUCUACACGAAGGAUAGUGUGUAUCUGUGCGUGUUUGUGCUGCUAUUGAUGCACGGUAUCUUGUUUGGAUGCGACACCUGUUGUGUUUGGGUUGGUUUGUUUAUCUUUGUGUGUGCGUGUUUGGUGCAUCCCUGCAGUGUAGCUUUUUUUUUUCCAGAGCAGAUGCCUGUAGCACCUCCUCUAAAAUCAAAGGAAGGCAUACGGUAGGGAUGCUAUUCAUUAUUAUGUCGUGUCAAUGAAAGCCUUUCAAUAGUAUAUGAGAGUUUAUUUAGAUUAUCUCUCACAGUGGACAGGCACCUACCAUGAACAUUUCAAACCCACCCAUCAUUUUUAAGUGGAAGGAGAACUUGCAAAAUCGCAGGGUGUUCAAAUACUUAUUUUCCUCACCGUAUACUGCCGGGUACGGUACUUAAAUUUGUCUUUUCAAUUUCUAUGCUUGAAUUACGUAUUACUUGUCGUAACCUCUAGUCUAAUCACCCAUGAGUUAACACAAAGCACACAAAUGUCUCUGAGUGCUCCGUCCACACCCUAAAAGUCUGAAUUUGCCAGCAUUCACAGCAGAGUCAAUAAAGUUCCUCCUUGGAGGUUUGCUCAGGCGGAACGGCUGGCAUUCAGACAUAUGACUGCGCCGCUUCAAGAGUCUGGGAGGAAGAUUGGUGUUUCACAAUAAGCAGCGUGCUGCUGCUUUUUCUUUGACUCAGAGAUCAGGAGAAAGGCAAGGAGCUUGUAUUCCGAUUCCCAUAUAUUAUAAUCUUAACAGAGGGACAUAUUUAACUCAUUUGGCUGCCAUUGAUGGCACAUGAUGUCCAAUCCAUUUAGACUGAGGGGCAGGCAGGUCAGCCCCUCCGGUAAACUAGAGCUGCUAUAUUUCAUUCACUAAUCGAUUACCAAAUCAAUCGUCAUCUAUUUUGAUGGUCAAAAAACCGUUGAGAGAUAUUGUUGACCUCAUAACUGUCCAAAUCCUUUAUUCAAAUACCUUUUAAGCCUUUUAAUAACACCCAAUUUUUA